UACAGAGGGUGCGAGCGUUGUCCGGAAUCACUGGGCGUAAAGGGCGUGUAGGUGGCCUGAUAAGCCGCGUGUGAAAUCCCGGGGCUCAACCCCGGAACGGCACGCGGGACUGUCAGGCUAGAGCAUGGUAGAGGCGAGUGGAAUUCCUGGUGUAGCGGUGGAAUGCGUAGAGAGUCGGGAAGAACAUCAGUGGCGAAGGCGGCCUGCUGGGCUGUUGCUGACGGCUGAGGCGCGGACAGCGUGGGGAGCAAACGAGG
rnacentral:rRNA from 1 species